AGCUCAAAUUUGAAAGCUGGCCCCCCCCGGGGGUCCGCGUUGUAAUUUGUAGAGGAUGAUUCGGCGAGGGCUCCCGCCUAAGUCCCCUGGAACGGGGCGUCAUAGAGGGUGAGAAUCCCGUAUGCGGUGGGCUGCCUUAGCCAUGUGAAUCUCCUUCGACGAGUCGAGUUGUUUGGGAAUGCAGCUCUAAAUGGGAGGUAAAUUUCUUCUAAAGCUAAAUACCGGCCAGAGACCGAUAGCGCACAAGUAGAGUGAUCGAAAGAUGAAAAGCACUUUGGAAAGAGAGUUAAAAAGUACGUGAAAUUGUUGAAAGGGAAGCGCUUGCAGCCAGACUUGCCCGCAGUUGCUCAGCCGGUCUCCUGACCGGCGCACUCUUCUGCGGCCAGGCCAGCAUCAGUUCGGGCGGUCGGAUAAAGGCCCCGGGAACGUAGCUCCUCUCGGGGAGUGUUAUAGCCCGGGGUGGAAUGCGGCCAGCCUGGACUGAGGAUCUCGCUUCGGCUAGGAUGCUGGCGUAAUGGCUGUAAGC
rnacentral:rRNA from 1 species